GGGCGUAAAGAGCUCGUAGGCGGUUUGUCACGUCUGCUGUGAAAUUUCGAGGCUCAACCUCGAACUUGCAGUGGGUACGGGCAGGCUAGAGUGCGGUAGGGGAGAUGGGAAUUCCUGGUGUAGCGGUGGAAUGCGCAGAUAUCAGGAGGAACACCAAUGGCGAAGGCACAUCUCUGGGCCGCAACUGACGCUGAGGAGCGAAAGCGUGGGGAGCGAACAGGAUUAGAUACCCUGGUAGUCCACGCCGUAAACGGUGGGUGCUAGCUGUGGGCCACAUUCCACGUGGUCCGUGACGAAGUUAACACAUUAAGCACCCCGCCUGGGGAGUACGGUCGCAAGACUAAAACUCAAAGGAAUUGACGGGGGCCCGCACAAGCGGCGGAGCAUGCGGAUUAAUUCGAUGCAACGCGAAGAACCUUACCAAGGCUUGACAUAUAGAGGAAACGUGCAGAAAUGUACUCCCCGCAAGGUCUCUAUACAGGUGGUGCAUGGUUGUCGUCAGCUCGUGUCGUGAGAUGUUGGGUUAAGUCCCGCAACGAGCGCAACCCUCGUCCUAUGUUGCCAGCACGUAAUGGUGGGAACUCAUGGGAUACUGCCGGGGUCAACUCGGAGGAAGGU
rnacentral:rRNA from 1 species